AAUUUUAAUGGUUAUUGUUUUCCCUUCACAAAAGCCCAGAAAGAAGUACAGUUUGAUACCUCAGACACUAAAAUAGGUUUUUGUGUGGAAUAAAGUCAAGAGUUUAGAAAUGUUUGUCUGCUCAAAAUGGUGAAAUUGCUUUGAUCAGAUCUGCAUCAUGUUUUUUAAAAAUUUGUUUUAUCUAGCAAGUUAUAUGAAAAAGCAUAAAAUUGCCCUAGCCGGUUUGGCUCAGUGGAUAGAGCAUCGGCCUGCGAACUGAAAGCAUAAUAAGAAAUGGUAGAGUUGAAGUGAUAGUGUCCACCCCAGGCUAUUGGAUAGUUCUUAAAUUCUUUUUGGUGAAAAUUGCAGAUGUUUUCUGGGGACACAAGAGUAAGACUUGCCUUCAGAACUUUUGAUGUGGUUAGGGAUAGAAGAUAGAAACUUAAGAGGUAAGUGAUAAAGAGAGGAAUGAAAGGAAUCCAGAAAAUUUUAAGAAUACAUUUCCAAGCUGUGUUGUCAACAUUUAGUUUUGCAGCAAUCCUGGAAAUGGUUUAUAAUGAACUGUUAUAGCUACCAUUUAUUGAAAGUUUACUCUGUGCUCAAGACACUGUCAGUUACUUCAGACGCUGUUGAUCUUACAUAAUGCUCACAGUGAGCUUCAAAAUAGAUUAUGUUCAAUUUUACCAAUUAAAAAAAAUCCAGACUUGGGUUAUGUAAUUUUGGGGGGAUCACACAGCUAGUAGUGGUGAAGGGGAUAUUAAAACCUGAGCCUGAAUAAAGCAAACAUUCAAGAGAGAAGAAAUAAAAGAUAAAAAGGGGAUGAUGUGCCCAGAGGGCAUGCACCCCUCAAGGCAGCCCCAGUUGAGCACAAUUUGAAAACCAUUGAUUAUAUCCUGCUCUCCCUUAACCCCUAUUUUACAGGUGAGGAAACUGAAAGCUUGAUUUAGUAGUUUGCACAAAGAUCUGAAAUCACUUUUUCUCAUGACAUCUAUUAAGUUAUUUUUUCAGUUAAUUUUGAGAGUGUAAAAUUAAAAUUUUUUUAAUUCAGCCUAGCCGGUGUUAGUGGAUGGGCGUUGACCUAUGAACCAGGAGGUCACAGUUCAGUCAGGGCACAUGCUAGGGUUGCAUGCUCAGUGUUGUUCAGGAGUCAGCUGGUCAGUGAUUCUCUCUUAUCAUAUCAUUGAUGUUUUUCUCUCACUCCCCCUUUCCCAUCCUCUCUGCAAUCAAUAAAAAUAUAUAUUAAAAAAUUGUUUUUUGUGUGGAUACAGUGAAAAGUCUCUCAGCUUACCCUUCUUGGAGGUAGCCAAUGAAACCAAUUUCUUGUGUGUUCUUUCAGAGAUAUUCAACGCAUAUAUAUGUAAAUUUGAGUGCAUUUUGUAAUUUUUUAAAAGGAUAAUUCGAAUUUUAUUUGUAUCUACCUUUGACAUGUACAAAAACUCUCAGCUCCCCACCUCCUGCAUUUUGUAAUUUUUAUUACAGUACUAUCCAUCUAGUUACCCACCAAAAAUGUUGGCGAACCAUGUCGUAUUUGCUGCCACUGAGGCUUGGACCCUGUUCUUGCAAAGGUUCAGAGCUCACUUGUGCACCUAGUUGUCACAGUUAAGUUCUUUAUUAAUCAGGGUUGGUUUCACCCUUCACUUGUUUAUUGAGUGUAAGCUCACGUGUGCCCUCUUACACAGCUGUGGCUCCAAACAUCUUGAACUUUGAUCCCCUUGGCUCAGGUUCCCAGUUACCUACAUGUGUAGUAGAGCAUUGCUGCUCACAGUAUACCGGACUGGAGGAGUAUGAUGAGGAGGGAAAACUGAAGUGGGAGACAGAACCAUGCUUUUCAAUAUGUAACUUGUUAAUAGGAAGCUUAUCAUUAUGCCCUUCCAAAGAAGUAAGAUAGCACUAAAAUAAAUUAUGGGACUGCCCAUUGAAGGCAUUGAGGGAAAGCAUUGAAUAGCUAUGUAUUCCCAUCUGGUCCAGUUUCUACUAGUGGAAAGUGCUGCUUUAUUUCUC